UAAUACGUAGGAGGCGAGCGUUGUCCGGAUUUACUGGGCGUAAAGAGCGCGCAGGCGGCACCCUAAGUACCCUCUGAAAUCUGUCUGCUCAACGGGCAGGGUGGAGGGUAGACUAGGGAGCUAGAGAGAGGUAGAGGGGGGUAGAAUUGCUGGUGUAGCGGUGAAAUGCGUAGAGAUCAGCAGGAAUACCCGUGGCGAAGGCGGCCCCCUGGGCCUCUUCUGACGCCGAGGCGCGAAGGCUGGGGGAGCGAACGGGAUUAGAUACCCCGGUAGUCCCAGCAGUAAACGAUGACCACUAGGUGUGGGGGGUGUUGACCCCUUCCGUGCCGAAGCUAACGCAUUAAGUGGUCCGCCUGGGGAGUACGGUCGCAAGACUA
rnacentral:rRNA from 1 species